rnacentral:tRNA from 1 species
CCCUCUGUAGCUCAAUGGAAAGAGCGGGCGCCCUCUAAGCGCCGUGCGCGGGUUCGAGUCCUGCCAGAGGGA